rnacentral:rRNA from 1 species
AACGUAGGAGACUAGCGUUAUCCGGAUUUACUGGGCGUAAAGCGUGUGCAGGCGGUUCGGCAAGUUGGAUGUGAAAUCUCCCGGCUCAACUGGGAGGGGUCGUUCAAUACUACCGAACUUGAGGGCAUCAGAGGAAGGUGGAAUUCCGGGUGUAGUGGUGAAAUGCGUAGAGAUCGGAAAGAACACCAACGGCGAAAGCACUCUGCUGGGCCGACACUGACACUGAGAGACGAAAGCUAGGGGGAGCGAAUGGG